rnacentral:rRNA from 1 species
UACAGAGGUCUCGAGCGUUAGGCGGAAUCACUGGGCUUAAAGCGUGUGUAGGCGGUUCGGUAAGUACCUUGUGAAAUCCCACAGCUUAACUGUGGAACUGCUUGGUAUACUGCCAGUCUUGAGCCAGCUAGGGGCUACCGGAACAAAUGGUGGAGCGGUGAAAUGCGUAGAUAUCAUUUGGAACGCCAAUGGUGAAAACAGGUAGCUGGGGCUGUGCUGACGCUGAGACGCGAAAGCCAGGGGAGCGAACGGG